UUUUAGAACUUCCUUUGUGUAUUGAAUUUUUUUUUACCUGAAAAGAGUCAAAGAAAUGUAACUUUGCAUAUUUCAUAUAAUAAAUGUCAAUGUUCUCCUUUAAAAAUAUGGGGGAUUUUUCUGGUUUCAGAAAAAAAAAAUGAUUUCACUCAUUUCCUCUGAUUUUGUAAUUUAAACCAUUUCAAUUUUUAUUUCCAUUAUGUUAAAAAAUGUGAUUACCACAAAUAAUAGUUAAUUGAGUAAGUUUAUGUAAGGGUACCUAUUACAGAAUACCCAGUAUACAUGUAUAAAGACUAUUUCCAGAAGCAUGCAUGUAUAUAUUCUGGUGUUUGGUUAAUAUAUACAUGUAUUAUGAAAAGAAUAUUAAAAUACUGUACCCAU
rnacentral:misc_RNA from 1 species